rfam:Tauraco erythrolophus contig94457, whole genome shotgun sequence.
CCGGCCCCGGGUUCAAGUAAUCCAGGAUAGGCUGUGGUCUGACAGUCAGCCUGUUCUCGGUUACUUGGCCCUGGAGCCGG